GAAAUGCGAUAAGUAGUGUGAAUUGCAGAAUUCAGUGAAUCAUCGAAUCUUUGAACGCACAUUGCGCCCUUCGGUAUUCCUUAGGGCAUGCCUGUUCGAGCGUCAUCUAAACCUUCAAGCCCUGCUUGGUGUUGGGUGCCUGUCCCGCCUCCGCGCGCAGACUCACCUCAAAUCCAUUGGCGGCCCCCGCGUCGGCCACGAGCGCAGCAGAAACGCGAACUCGUGAGCCCGUCCGGGCGGCUCCCAGAAGCUACACCCACCCAGUUUGACCUCGGAUCAGGUAGGGAUACCCGCUGAACUUAAGC
rnacentral:misc_RNA from 1 species